rnacentral:lncRNA from 1 species
UUCAGCAAGGCUCUGUUCAGUUGUUCUUAUCUACAUCCUAGAAUCAGGGGUUUCAGCUCACUGCGCCUUUUCUUCCUCUCUCUCUUUUUUCCCCCUCUUUCUUUCCCACCCCACCCCCUCCCAAUAAUAGAUUUACUUUACAAUCAUCCACACUGUGUUCUGUGGAUCUGUAAUAUAUAUAACAAUAGUAGUCAUUUUCAAAUUAUAUCCUGAAACCUUUGCAAAUUUUAAGAGAAGAGUCGAAGCGCUGCGAGACCCAAUAUUUGCCAAUAAGAAUGGUUAUGAUAAUUAGCACCAUGGAGCCUCAGGUGUCAAAUGGACCGACAUCCAAUACAAGCAAUGGACCCUCCAGCAACAACAGAAACUGUCCUUCUCCCAUGCAGACAG